AUGCCUUUCUACUUUACUCAGAAGAUCGAGCAGAUCCAGAACCUGGGCCUGUGGGAAGUCUAUCAUUGGCAGAAAGGCCAGACGCAGAAGCAGAAUGAGGGGAAGGAAGUGGAUGAGAGGCAGCUGUUUCACGGCACUAGCACCAGCUUCGUGGAUGCCAUCUGCCAGCAGAACUUUGACUGGCGGGUCUGUGGUCUGCAUGGCACGUCCUAUGGCAAAGGAAGCUACUUUGCGAGAGAUGCGGCCUAUUCGCACCACUACAGUAAAUCCGACACACACUCCCACACCAUGUUCCUGGCCCGGGUGCUGGUUGGAGACUUCGUCAGGGGCAGCACUUCCUUUGUCCACCCUCCGGCCGAGGAAGGCCAGAGCAAUGCCUUCUAUGACAGCUGUGUGAACAGCAUGUCCGACCCAACCAUCUUUGUAGUUUUUUGAGAAGCACCAGGUCUACCCUGAGUACCUCAUCCAAUAUUCUACCUCCUCCAAGCCCCCGGCUGGCCUUUCCAUUUUUGUUGCCCUAGGCAACUUGUUCACCAGCCGACGGUAA